rnacentral:rRNA from 1 species
CACAAGCGGUGGAUGAUGUGGUUAAUUCGAUGCAACGCGAAAACCUUACCCACCUUUGACAUGUACGGAAGCCUUUAGAGAUAGAGGCGUGCUCGAAAGAGAGCCGUAACACAGGUGCUGCAUGGCUGUCGUCAGCUCGUGUCGUGAGAUGUUGGGUUAAGUCCCGCAACGAGCGCAACCCUUGUCAUUAGUUGCUACAUUCAGUUGGGCACUCUAAUGAGACUGCCGGUGACAAGCCGGAGGAAGGUGGGGAUGACGUCAAGUCCUCAUGGCCCUUAUAGGUGGGGCUACACACGUCAUACAAUGGCUGGUACAAAGGGUUGCCGACCCGCGAGGGGGAGCUAAUCCCAUAAAGCCAGUCGUAGUCCGGAUCGUAGUCUGCAACUCGACUACGUGAAGUUGGAAUCGCUAGUAAUCGCAGAUCAGCACGCUGUGGUGAAUAAGUUCUCGGGUUUU